CAUACUAUUUGUAAAUUAUGUUAUAAUUCAUUAAUUAAAAAAACAGUUGCAAAACAUUCCAGAAAUUCCAAAGUGAAUGAAGCAAUAGCAUAGAAACAAUCUGUAGCAUGUAAUGACUUAACUAUUCAGGUGACGCUGUCAAAAAUAAGUCUGGAAUUAAAUAUAUAAGCUAAUAAGUAUUUUUUUAGAUACAUCAACAUUUUAGCUCUCGGUGAACGAUCUCCGCAGUAUUAAAGUUCUUAGUCUCUAGUCGCAACCUUGUUCAUUCACAAAUCCCUCUUUACAUAGUUCAAUAUAAUAUUGGCACAUGACAUUGGCGAAAUCUAUAAGGAAACGCCAGUAACCAAAAAGAAGAAUAAGUAUUUUUUUUUAAACAAACAAACAAGUAUAUAAGCUGUUUAUAUCUCCUAUGUUUGCUUUUAAUUGAAUUUUGUGUUUGUUUUAGAUCUACCAACAUAUAUAGUUCCUAAUUGCGACUUCAGCCGAGACUUAAAUUUUAUUUUAUUCAAAAGUCAAUCCCGGAUCGUGUCUCCUACAUUCUACAUGACACUGGCAUAAUCUACUGUGCACGUCUUUGCACGGAUGAAGGCCAUAUUAUAAAAGCUUGAACUAUUAGACAAAAACUAAAAACAUUAAACAAGUAUAUAAAGAUAAAAAUAAGUCUAUGUCAGUGGAUUGAAGCUUAGGACAGCGAGACAACAAAAUGAACCAUUUGCAGGAAUUUAUUUCGCCCCAUGUUAAAGUUUCCAGUUUUGGAGGAGAGGUAUACUGGAGACUCAUUAUGCAACAUUACAACAAGUAAUUAUAUUAUAAAAAUAGGAGUAUCUCACAGAUAAUAUUUCGAUCCUUUAAAAUAAAAUAUAAUUUCAACAAUAACUAAGUAACAAGAAUAUAAUAUUCAAGGUAACAGGUUUAAAAUUUCAAUAAUUGAACAAGAAAUUAUCAAACAUUAAAUAUCCAUUAUUAUACUAAGACAAAAUCAAUAUUCAUGUAGUCUUAGUCAUUGUUACCGAGACUUAUAGUUAUAUUUAACAUACAUAAGUAAAUUAUGCAAAAUAUUAAGCACAAAAUAGAUAUUUUUUUAUAUUUCAAAACAUCAUCUAGAAAAAAAGCCUAUAUAUAUGAUACACAAAGCAUGUGAAAACAGUAGCUAGUUGUAACGGUAAGAUUAUCUAUAAUGUUUGCCGGCAAUAGUAUCCCAACGCCUUACAUUUCUGACAGAGAUGCUGCGGAUGUGGCUUCUUGUUGUCUCCAACAUCCAAUUCCUUCGGUUUUUGAAGAGGCGUCUGAGUAUUCAUUAAUAUGUUUGAUUAGAAAUAUGCUCAGGUCACUUAUUAAUUAACCAUAUGAAAGUAGGUUUUUUAUUAAUAGAACUGUGUUUACUUUCAUUUACCUGUUUGUGUGGAAACACAUUGAUUUUGCAAGACUGGCAUUCCUGUCCGUAGCCAGCCCACGAGUUGCUGCUCAUCCAUCUACGGGUGCACUGUGGACAUCGGUACUCACCAAAGCACCUCGAUUUGCCUUUGUAGGGAGUAUUUAUAUCCUUCAAAACAAAAUAUUCGAAUAAAUAACUACUGGUUUGAAAUUAUUUAAAAAUUUACUAUUACAAAACAAAUUUUAAAAAAUUAUUUAGUAAAUUCGUUAUAAACAUAA